rnacentral:tRNA from 1 species
GCUCAGUUGGUUGAGCGUCCAACUCUUGGUUUUGACUCAGGCUAUGACCUCACAGUUUCGUAGGUUUGAACCCUGUAUUGGGCU